UACGGAGGGUGCGAGCGUUGUCCGGAAUCACUGGGCGUAAAGGGCGCGUAGGUGGCGCUAGUAGUCAACGGUGAAAGCCCGGGGCUCAACCCCGGGUCGGCCGUCGAUACUCUCGUGCUUGAGCACUGUAGAGGCAGGUGGAAUUCCGGGUGUAGCGGUGGAAUGCGUAGAGAUCCGGAAGAACACCGGUGGCGAAGGCGGCCUGCUGGGCAGUAGCUGACACUGAGGCGCGACAGCGUGGGGAGCAAACAGG
rnacentral:rRNA from 1 species